rnacentral:tRNA from 1 species
GGAAAGGUGACCGAGUGGUUUAAGGUGUGGCACCGGAAAUGCUAUGUAGAUUUCCAGCUACCGAGGGUUCGAAUCCCUCCCUUUCCU